AUGCUUGAUCUAGGCGCGCUCCCCGCGGAUGCGGCGGGCGAGCUGGAUGUCCUUGGGCAUGAUGGUGACGCGCUUGGCGUGGAUGGCGCAGAGGUUGGUGUCCUCGAAGAGCCCGACGAGGUACGCCUCGGCAGCCUCCUGGAGCGCCAGCACGGCGUGGCUCUGGAACCGGAGGUCCGUCUUGAAGUCCUGCGCGAUCUCCCGCACCAGGCGCUGGAACGGCAGCUUGCGGAUGAGCAGCUCCGUGCUCUUCUGGUACUUGCGGAUCUCACGCAGCGCCACCGUGCCGGGCCUGUAGCGGUGGGGCUUCUUCACGCCGCCGGUGGUCGGCGCCGACUUCCUCGCCGCCUUGGUGGCCAGCUGCUUGCGAGGCGCCUUGCCGCCGGUAGACUUCCGGGCGGUCUGCUUCGUACGCGCCAUCGAUCUCUCCUGCUUCUCGUCGACUGCGAACCGGGCUUCGGCCUGCGCGCGCUGCGGGGUUGGGGAUUUGGGGAACUUGAAGUGGAUCGCGACGGAUUGGGUUGUGAGGAGAGGAGAGAAGUGGGGUGGGAAUUUUAUAGGUGA
rnacentral:rRNA from 1 species